ACGUCAAAUCAUCAUGCCCCUUAUGUCCUGGGCUACACACGUGCUACAAUGGCUGAAACAAAGAGAAGCGAAACUGUAAAGUGGAGCGAAACUCGAAAUACAGUCCCAGUUCGGAUUGAGGGCUGCAACCCGCCCUCAUGAAGCUGGAGUUGCUAGUAAUCGCGAAUCAGCAUGUCGCGGUGAAUACGUUCCCGGGCCUU
rnacentral:rRNA from 1 species